rnacentral:rRNA from 1 species
AGCUCUUGACAUCAUCUGACAACCCUAGAGAUAGGGCUUUCCCUUCGGGGACAGAUAGACAGGUGGUGCAUGGUUGUCGUCAGCUCGUGUCGUGAGAUGUUGGGUUAAGUCCCAUAACGAGCGCAACCCUUAUUGUUAGUUGCCAGCAUUCAGUUGGGCACUCUAGCGAGACUGCCGGUGAUAAACCGGAGGAAGGUGGGGAUGACGUCAAAUCAUCAUGCCCCUUAUGAGCUGGGCUACACACGUGCUACAAUGGACGGUACAACGAGUUGCGACCCCGCAAGGGUUAGCGAAUCUUAAUAAGCCGUUCUCAGUUCGGAUUGUUCUCUGCAACUCGAGAGCAUGAAGCCGGAAUCGCUAGUAAUCGCGGAUCAGAAUGCCGCGGUGAAUACGUUCCCGGGUC